rnacentral:rRNA from 1 species
UACGGAGGGGGCUAGCGUUGUUCGGAAUUACUGGGCGUAAAGCGCGCGUAGGCGGACCUGCAAGUCGGAUGUGAAAGCCCACGGCUCAACCGUGGAAGUGCAUCCGAAACUGCAUGGCUCGAGUCUCGGAGAGGAAGGUGGAAUGCUUGGUGUAGAGGUGAAAUUCGUAGAUAUCAAGCAGAACACCUGCGGCGAAGGCGGCCUUCUGGACGAUGACUGACGCUGAGACGCGAAAGCGUGGGGAGCAAACAGG